UAAGACGUAGGAGGCGAGCGUUGUCCGGAUUCAUUGGGCGUAAAGAGCACGCAGGCGGUUUGGCAAGUCGGAUGUGAAAACCCGGAGCUCAACUCCGGGCGUGCAUCCGAUACUGCCCGACUAGAGGUAGGUAGGGGAGAUCGGAAUUCCUGGUGUAGCGGUGAAAUGCGCAGAUAUCAGGAGGAACACCGGUGGCGAAGGCGGAUCUCUGGGCCUUACCUGACGCUCAGGUGCGAAAGCUAGGGGAGCGAACAGGAUUAGAUACCCUGGUAGUCCUAGCCGUAAACGUUGGGUGCUAGGUGUGGGCGGAUAUCAACCCCGUCCGUGCCGAAGCUAACGCAUUAAGCACCCCGCCUGGGGAGUACGGCCGCAAGGCUA
rnacentral:rRNA from 1 species